ensembl:lncRNA
AGUCCAAGAAGUUAAAGACCAUGAACGUUCCACUUCCCCCCCGUGGCCUCACAUACCCUCACCUCCCCCUCAACUUCAACACCCGCCCGUCUAUAAAAAGUUCAGCCCCGAAGUGAUCCGGCCCGUACAGUCUGACGGCCCGGGGCUCGGGGGUCAAAGCGGGGUCCCGGCGUGGCGAAAGCACACGGCCAGCGGAUCGCACGCCGGCUCCCAGCGGCCCAGUGAAAGUCCAUGAAGCCAAAGAGGGUUCUGCUGGUGGACGACGCGGGCCACGUAGUACCGCCACCAGGGGACGAGUGACGGGUUCUGUUGCUCUGCUGCACGCUCACAGGGGGGGUUUGUCAGCGUCCCGUUGAUGCCUCCCGAUGGUCUAAAGGAGGGGUGGGGGAAGCGUGCCCUUCACUGCCGAGGUUUCUGCGGAUGUUGACGAUUAGUUGGUCAGUCACAAAAUCAAAUUGUGUGUAACGAUGAACCGCGAAGGGUCCGACAGAACCGGCCUUUCCCCCCCCCCGCAGGCCGCUGUUCCUUCCCCAAGCGGAACUGAGACGAUAGAAGUCUAUUUUUCUAUAGACGGCAUGCGUGUAACGAGCGGGAAACGAUGCGGUUUUUCAAAAGGAAACGCACAAAAAGAUGAGGAAUAACGUUUGGGAAGACACCGUUGGUGAGGAGGGAGGAGAAUGAGUCAAACUGCUGCUACAUACAGAGUGUCUAAUAUUAUACACAUCUGCUCUCGUUCAGAAGCCCAUAUGCUUCAUAUUGGAGAUGAGGGACUUUCAUCACGUCGUAUGAAAUGUUAUUGAAACUUUGGAAACUGAAUUUUGCUCAACGAUGUAAAAAGAUGGCUGUCUGAUUGACCCCCUCCCCGCCGCGUGGGCUUCGUCCACCAUCUUUGGCGUAACAUACAGAACGCCUCCCUGCGGAUACGACGAGGACAGCUUGUCAGAGACGUCUUUCUUUCCGCCGUCUCCUUCCUCAGAAGGAGCACGAACCCCUGAAACUCAAAAGCGUUUCCCCGUCAGCUCCUCACGCCGCUCUCGCCCUCCUCCCCGAAGGCAAAGAGCGGGGACACCGUGUGACGCGAAUUACCACGGGCCCGUCGGUGGCCAUAAACGCAGCAUCGAGUUCUCCCCAAACAGACGGCGGCCUGCGCGCUGACGCGGGGCCUUUGCGGGCGACGUCUUGGACGCCCCUCAGAUGGAUGUGACGGAGCCACUUAUCUCGGAGUUUAUAGGCCGGUAAUGAAACAGUAACCGGAGUCGUUUGCGCGCUUUAAAGUGGGUGUUGAAGUGGAAAUGUGCAGCGAGGCUUGGUGGAGCAUUAAGGCCUGAAGUGCGGCGAGCUGUAAACUGUGUACUCUGGACUCUCCCCGGGAAUCCUGCCUCUCACAGCCCGCCGCGGGCGGAGGAAAACGUCGGCCCCCGGCGGGCUCGGAGGGGAGAAAGACGCGCCGGGCGCGCGACGUCACGUCUGCCGGACUUGGCUUCGGUCUGCAGAGCUCGUUUGGGUUUCGCUUCCCUCUGCUCCGUGCGAGCUAAAUAUAAACCGCGCUGCGUCCUUCCAACUGAGCCACAUCUGCAUUGCUUUACACGCCCCAUCUUUGAGUUUUUAACGACUCUUCAUGGAACGAUAUCUGUUUAAAUUCCUCAAAGCAGAUAUCAUUCCAGCAGCUUUAAAGGAAACUACGGCCCCUGAUCUGUAGUCCGAUCCCAAAGUUUCCACCCAAUUGUCUUGUUCUUGC